rnacentral:rRNA from 1 species
AACGCUAGCUACAGGCUUAACACAUGCAAGUCGAGGGGUAGCAGGGUAGCAAUACCGCUGACGACCGGCGCACGGGUGAGUAACACGUAUCCAACCUACCAUUCACACGGGGAUAGCCUUUCGAAAGAAAGAUUAAUACCCGAUAGUAUAACGAUAAGGCAUCUUAUUGUUAUUAAAGAAUUUCGGUGUUUGAUGGGGAUGCGUUCCAUUAGAUAGUAGGCGGGGUAACGGCCCACCUAGUCUUCGAUGGAUAGGGGUUCUGAGAGGAAGGUCCCCCACAUUGGAACUGAGACACGGUCCAAACUCCUACGGGAGGCAGCAGUGAGGAAUAUUGGUCAAUGGGCGCAGGCCUGAACCAGCCAAGUAGCGUGAAGGAUGACUGCCCUAUGGGUUGUAAACUUCUUUUAUAAAGGAAUAAAGUCGGGUAUGUAUACCCGUUUGCAUGUACUUUAUGAAUAAGGAUCGGCUAACUCCGUGCCAGCAGCCGCGGUAAUACGGAGGAUCCGAGCGUUAUCCGGAUUUAUUGGGUUUAAAGGGAGCGUAGAUGGAUGUUUAAGUCAGUUGUGAAAGUUUGCGGCUCAACCGUAAAAUUGCAGUUGAUACUGGAUAUCUUGAGUGCAGUUGAGGCAGGCGGAAUUCGUGGUGUAGCGGUGAAAUGCUUAGAUAUCACGAAGAACUCCGAUUG